AUUCGUCCAACGGAAGCAGAGGAAAGUGGCGGACGGGUGAGUAACGCGUGGGUAACCUGCUUUGUACUGGGGGAUAGCAGCUGGAAACGGCUGGUAAUACCGCAUGAUGCAUAGGGAUCGCAUGAUACUGAGGGAAAAGGAUUUAUUCGCUUCAGGAUGGACUCGCGUCCAAUUAGCUAGUUGGUGAGGUAACGGCCCACCAAGGCGACGAUCAGUAGCCGGACUGAGAGGUUGACCGGCCACAUUGGGACUGAGAUACGGCCCAGACUCC
rnacentral:rRNA from 1 species